AAUUCCCUCCCUACCACCCAAUACUGGUGUAAGAAUGGGUUUCUUACCAUCCAAUUAUCAACUCACAAUAUGUCUCCUGUAUUCCCUAAUUUUCUGCUUCUCUUCUUCUUCUGCACAUCUUUGCCAUAAUGACGAGAGCACUGCUUUGCUCCAAUUUAAGCAACUCUUUUCCUUCAAUUGCUCUGCUUGCGAUUGCCCUAGUUAUCUUUCUGCUCCAUUCACUGAUAAUUGGAAAGAGGGUACAGAUUGUUGUGCAUGGGAUGGGGUCACAUGUGAUAACACCACUUCUCAUGUCAUUGGCCUCGACCUCAAUUGUAACUGCCUAUAUGGUACCAUCCAUCCAAACAGCAGCCUCUUCAAUCUUGUUCACCUUCAACACCUCGACCUUUCUGAAAACAACUUCAAUCACUCUCAAAUUUUACCUUCAUUUGGCCGUUUCACAAAUUUGACCCAUCUUAACCUCUCUUUGUCCUAUCUUUCUGGCCCAAUACAACCAUCUGAAGAAGAAGUCUGGCAAGGGAAUAACUUCUCCAAUAGCAUUUUCCACUUACAGAAAUUGCAGGAGCUGCGGUUAGGCGGCAACAGAGAACUCACAGGUAAACUUCCAAGCUUUAUUAAUGGAACUCUCUGGCACCUUAGGCACCUUAGGUCGUUGGAUCUCUCUGAAAUAGAUUUCACCGGAGAGCUACCUAAUUCCAUCGGCCAACUUGAGUACUUGGAGGUGCUAGGCCUCGCUGCCUGCAAUUUCUCUGGUACGAUUCCGAGAUCGCUUACAAACCUCACGCGAUUAAUUUCGCUUGGUCUUGGAGGGAAUAACUGGAUCAAUGGUCAAUUCCCAUCUUCAAUCGGCCAUCUUAAAAACUUGGAGGAGCUAUUCCUCAAUGACUGCAAUUUCUUUGGUACCAUUCCAACAUGGCUUGGAAACCUCAAGAAACUAAGAAUGUUAGAUCUUGGAGGGAACAACUUGAUCAAUGGUCAAUUCCCAUCUUCAAUCGGCCAUCUUAAAAACUUGGAGUACCUAUACCUCAGUGACUGUAAUUUCUCUGGUACGAUUCCGAGAUCGCUUACAAACCUCACGCAAUUAAUUUGGCUUUAUCUUUCAUCCAACAAUUUUGAAGGCCCAAUUCCUCAACUUUUUUCCAACUUCUCGCAGCUUCAAUCUAUAGAUUUCUCAAACAAUCAACUAACAGGUCCCAUUCCAUCAUCAAUAACUGGCCUUCCACAUCUACAGGAUCUAAAUUUAGGCAGUAACUCAAUCAAUGGGACAAUACCUCCUUCCUUGUUUCAUCUUGUGAACCUUACCUAUCUUGAUCUUUCGUCAAAUAAUUUAAGCGACACUGUUGAGCUGGACACAUUUGCAAAGCUUGAAUAUUUGGAUUCUUUGGUUCUUUCACAUAGUGGUCUAUCAUUGACCACCACCAACUCCACUCACUCCUCUUUCCGAAACAUUAGGACAUUACGAUUGUCGUCUUGCAACAUAAAUAAAAUUCCUGAAUUUCUGAAAACCCGAAUGGAAUUGUUGGAGGCGCUAGACCUUUCGAACAAUCACCUAGAUGAAGAACUCAAUCCACUCUGCAUUCUUCAUUCUCUUAUAUAUCUUGAUCUGUCCAAUAACCAAUUUGGCGGAUUAAUACCUACCUGUUUGGGGAACUUCAGUGGAACAUUAACCGUGUUAAAUUUGCAGAGUAACAAUUUCCAUGGUACCAUCCCUCAAACAUUUGGAUACACAAGCACGUUACAGGAACUUGACAUUAGCCACAAUGGAUUGCAAGGGGUGCUUCCAAGAUCAUUGGCGAAUUGCAUGAACCUAAAAAUUUUGAAUCUGGGUCAUAAUUUCAUAGAAGAUGCUUUUCCAUUUUGGUUGGAGAACCUGCCCCAAUUGAAGAUUAUUGUCUUGCGAGAUAAUAAAUUCCACGGUCCCAUAGAGCAACCAAGGAAGAGAUUAGCCUUCACCAAUUUACAUAUCAUUGACAUGUCUCACAAUGAAUUUACAGGUACUUUGCCAUCCAUAUACUUUGAGAGCAUGCAUUCAAUGAUGAUGGAUGAUGAAGGCAAAUCCUUAAAUUAUAUGCACAUUGGUUAUGGUUAUUAUUCGGUAAACAUAAUGAAUAAAGGACUGGAAAUGACACUUGUAAGGAUCAUCACCAUCUUCAAAGCCGUUGAUUUCUCGCACAACAAGUUUGAUGGAAAGAUUCCCAUAUCUAUUGGAAGACUCAAAGCCCUCCAUGUCCUAAAUUUUUCAAGAAAUGGUUUCACAGGUCCAAUUCCAUUGUCCUUGGUGAAUCUAGCUGAGCUUGAGUCCUUGGAUCUAUCCCAAAACAAGCUCUUUGGUGAGAUACCUCAACAACUAACAAGCUUGACAUUCCUUGAAGUUUUUGAUGUCUCGCAAAAUAAUCUAACUGGGAUUAUACCACGUGGCCAGCAGUUUGAAACAUUUUCAAACAUUUCAUAUGGGGGAAAUGCAGGCUUGUGUGGUUUUCCCUUGUCAAAGGAAUGUAAGACUCCCAAGAUAGCAGAAUCACCAUCUUUACCAUCCUCUUCAAGCCACAAUUAUGAAUGCAGACUUGAUGGUUUUGGAUGGGAAGCAGUGUCAAUGGGAUAUGGAUGUGGAGCAGUAUUUGGUUUGGUGAUAGGAAGUUGCAUCAUUCGAAGGAAAGAAGAAUGGCUUGCGAGAAUUUUUAGACUGAAAAUGUGUCAUCAGAAGAACAGAUCGAAUGAGGUUAGGUACCAACAUGGAGCAAGAUGACAUGUUCAGAACUAAGUGGAGCUUGUUUGAAGUAAAGCAUGUUACAGGAACUUGACAUUAGCCACAAUGGAUUGCAAGGGGUGCUUCCAAGAUCAUUGGCAAAUUGCAUGAACCUAGAAAUUUUGAAUUUGGGUCAUAAUUUCAUUGAAGAUGCUUUUCUAUUUUGGUUGGAGAAUCUGCCCCAAUUGAAGGUACUUUGCCAUCAAAAUACUUUGAGAGCAUGCAUUCAAUGAUAAUGGAUGAUGAAGAUAAAUCCUCCUUAAAUUAUAUGGGCAAUGGUUAUGGUUAUUAUUAUUCGGUAACCGUAAUGAAUAAAGGACUGGAAAUGGAAGGCGUAUUGCUUGGUUUGUUGAUUUGAAGUUGUAUUAUUCGAAGGAAAGAAGAAUGGCUCAUAAGGAUUUUUGGUGUAAAAAUGUGUCAACAUGGGAAGAGAUCAAAGAAGGUUUGGAAGAAGAUAGCUCAUACAAAGUCAAUUAUAAAUUGUUUGUAGUAAAUCUAUUGUGUAUUCUAAUAAAUUGGAGAAGUAUUUGAAGGUUGCAAUGCAAGGUAAAGCUAUAGCGCAAUUCCUUCACUGUGUCUUCUUUUGCCAAUGAAAGUAUUGGUUUGUAAUCUCCAAUGAACGACAACAUGUGGAAGAAACAUGUGUAAUUUUUUUGUUUCGUAGAGAUGCAACAAUCUUAUCCUAUA